UUUCAGUUACAAACAGAAACUAUUUUUGACAACUGUUUUAUGACAUUUUCUGUUCUACCCAAUACUUGACAAAGAGGUGAUGGCUUCAGGGUAAAAAAAAAAAGGAGUUACUGAAAUUCCUUGAGCAAGAGAGUGAAAAAUAAUUCCUGAAUUCUUCCUCUAUGCAAGAUACUAUAUAAGAUGCAAAAACUGAAUAAUAUCCCUGCCCUCAUGGAUCAUCCAAUCUAGCUGGAAAUACAGAACACUUUCACCUUGGACUCAAGAGAUGUAGUCUUUAUGAAAUACUGUGCUUAGCUUCUAAAGAGGUUACUCAUUUACAAAAUGGAAAUAAAAGUAAUUGCACAACCUUUCUCACAGUUGUGCUAGAAGAAAAAGAUCCUAUAAACCAUAAACUAACCAGAUGGGCAAGAACGGAUGCUGUGGUAUUGCUAAUGUUGGAAGAAAUAUCCACAUUGAUGAGAUCUCAAGCACAUUGUUGUGAUGGAGGAAUAAUGCCUUUCCAUAUUUCAUAUUGAAUAUAAUUUCAAAUAAUUAAUCCUUCUUUUGUCUCAUACCUCACCUCCAAACUUAUCAUAAUAAA
rnacentral:lncRNA from 1 species